GGUCUCUCAGCCUGGUGACGAGCUACAGGGGCACGAUGGUAUUGAACGCUGAACUUUAGUCUAUGAACAGUAUUCUCUCAUGUGUCCCUCUGGUCCAGGUGGGAGAGGGCAGUGUGUACCGUGAGGGAGAUGGCAUAUGGAUGACCUAUUCGGCCUGUAGGCAUACUGAAAGUGGUCCAGUGAGUCAGGAGGUGAUGAAGGAUUUGACUAACCACUCAAAACACUUCAUGAUGGUUGAGAUCCGGACCCGCUGUGGCCGCACCAUGGAUUACGAUUUUUGGAUCGUGCAUCAGAGGUCGCAAUGGUGGAUCCAGUAUGGCGGAUUCUAUAUCGUGCUGGCUCAUCGUAGUGUGAAUGACGGAUCCUUUGUCGCGUUGGAGUGAGAUAAUGGUGGUGGACCACGGCCGAGGCGGCGCCUGAUGAUGGAUCUUAAUAAGCGGCAGUGGACAAUGACUGUGGACUAUAGUGGAUCCGACCAGGAUGAUGGAUCAUUAUCUUGCUGGCUGCUGACCAUGGACUAUGAUUGCAGCUUGACUACUUGACAAAUCGUAUUGAAGUUAUCCUUCAAGAUGUUUACCCUUAUCAAUGCUGCUAAAAAACUUGAAUCUUGAUGAUGUUUUCCUGCAAUUGACAUGUAUUGCACGUCUGUCCGUCCUGGGAGAGGGAUCCCUCACAUGUGGCUCUCUCUGAGGUUUCUAUGUAUUUUUACCCUGUUAACAAGGUUUUUAAGUUGUUUUUCCUUACUCUUGCUGAGGGUUAAGGACAGAGGAUGUCUCACCAUGUUAAAGCCCUAUGAGACGAAGUGUAAUUUGUGAAUAUGGGCUAUACAAAUAAAAUUUGAUUGAUUGAUUGAUUGAAGUUGACAUUUUCCUUGAUUUGGGUCGCGGCUUGUCAUUAAGGAGUGAUGCUGGGUCUCGAAGCCAGACCAGUUGAGAACCACUGCUCUAAAGGUUGCAAAAUAUAACCUUGGAACCUUCAGAGAACGUUUGUAGAGGUUCUCUAUUUGCUGAGAUCGCUGGCUUUUUAUGUUUCCGGACUAAUUAUUACCUAUUAUUAAAACAUUAUUAUUAGUGUUUUGAUUGCGUUUAAUCAAACUUUAAUGCUAGCCACGGUCACACAGCCUUAAAACCAUAUGAAUAUCUUCGGGGGGGGGGGGGCUGUUGAUACAAACAUGUAGUUUGAGUGAGAUGGAACCAUAAACACUGAAGUAACAGCAAUUUCGUGUUUCACGGCAAGUUGAUGAACUUUAAUGCCACGCCAUUAAUAUGGCGAUUGACGAAAAGUCACAGUAAUCUUAUUCCUACACCAUGGUGAUGAUCACAAUGGUUUUGAAGAACAUUGUUAAGUUAAAGAAGUGGAAGAGGAAAAAGGUGAGUCAUCAUUGGUUUCUAGGAAAGUAUCUCAAUAGGUAAUGGGUUAUGGCAGCUAAUAACCCCUUUAUCCAUUUCAAACAGACUACGUACAGAACAGGCAGUUGAGGUCACUUCAGCACUGACUAAUAAUAAAUACCACAGGUAUGCACAGAGCACUUACCCACUGGAGCAAUUGAGAAGCUAAGCUAAGUGCUGUGUCGUAAUAUUGUAAAUAUUUGUGGCACUAAAGAAUUUAGUGGUAGUGAUUACCAGGUUACUUUGACCACUGCUACAACAACAAAGAGCCGAUCAGAGCUAGAAACUUUGGGCUAAACUCUUAGUACCGCAAGGUAACAAAUACACAGGUAGUAUAUGUGCUAAGCUAGUCUUGGAUGAGAAUAUAAAAACGUGCCGUGUAAGUAAUAAAGCACUGUUGCUUUUACUCGUCUAACAACAACGUCUAAUUCUCCCAUUGGCUUUACUUGUUUUCUUCUGUUUCUUUUCAGCAUCCUAAACUAUGUCUCUUCUUAUGAAGCUUUUGUGUAGUGUUACUCAUGGUGAAGGUAGAAAUUCACUGCAACACAGAGACUCCUCCUCUGUUAGUAUCAGUUCACUUUUUCCCCCGUAGCACCACUGCUUCCCCCAAUACAAAGAAGCUCUGCACCUUUGACCUCACCGCCUGGUGCCGCUUCACUCUCGGCAACUUCUUCGUCCUCCAUACACUGUUAGUUCUUCCACAAUGUAUUCAGACACAUUUAAGUUGCUACAAUGAGUUUUUAACUGGUUUUGAAACAAUCUAAUUUUAAUAUUGCUGUCUCACCAGAAAUAAUUUAGUGGCAACGUUGGUCCACUUGGAAAAACGUUCCCAUCUCACAAUUUGGACCCUCAAAUUGUGAGAUAAGUUGUGAGAUGGGAAUUUUUUUGUCCGCCCAUUGUUUUGCAUUGGCGUGUUCCCACGUCACGUGACGCCCAAGUUCCCGUCUGCGGAAAGGAAAUCAUGGCUGAAAUUCCUUGUUUUUUCAGAUAAAAAUGUCAUUUUGUAACUUAGUUUGGGCAUAAAAAUACAUUCUGACACCAUUUCUAGCGAGAAAUAUGCUCUUUGUUUCCACAGUCUUCAGCCAGUUCAUGCUUAUGAUCUACAGUGCCUUGCAUAAGUAUUCACCCCCCUUGGACUUUUUCCCAUUAUGUACUGUUACUAACUGGAAUUCAAAUAGACUUAAAUAAACUUUUUCCCGUUUGAUCAACAAAACAUGCAUAGUACUUUGGAGGUGCAAAAUAAAUUUUAUUGUGACACAAACAAUAAUGAGAACAAAAAAGUUGACAUCUGUUGGGUGCAUAAGUAUUCACCCCCCUGUGUCAAUACUUGGUAGAACCCCCUUUCGCUGCAAUUACAGCUGCAAGUCUUUUGGGGUAUGUCUCUACCAGCUUUGCACAUCUAGAGAUGGAAAGGUUUGUCCAUUCUUCUUGGCAAAAAAGAUGAAGCUCAGUCAGAUUGGAUGGAGACCGUCUGUGAACCGCAAUCUUCAAGUCUUGCCAUAGAUUCUCUAUUGGAUUGAGGUCUGGGCUUUGACUGGGCCAUUUUAAGACAUUAACAUUCUUUAAUCCAAACCAUUCCUUUGUAGCUCUGGCUGUAUGUUUAGGGUCACUGUCCUGCUGGAAGAUGAACCUCCGCCCCAGUCUCAAGUCUUUUGCAGACUGCAUCAGAUUUUCUUCAAGGAUUUCCCUGUAUUUGGCUCCAUCCAUCUUUCCCUGUAUUCUGACCGGUUUCCCUGUACCUGCUGAAGAGAAGCAUCCCCACAGCAUGAUGCUACCACCACCAUGUUUCACUGUUGGGAUGGUGUGCUCAGGGUGAUGGGCAGUGUUGGGUUUUCGCCACACAUAGCGUUUUGCAUUGAGGCCAAAAAGUUCAAUUUUGGUCUCAUCUGACCAGAGCACCUUCUUCCACAUGUUUGCUGUGUCUCCCACAUGGCUUCUGGCAAACUCCAAAUGGGAUUUUUUAUGGAUCCCUUUCAACAAAGGCUUUCUUCUUGACACUCUUCCAUAAAGGCCAGAUUUGUGGAGUAGACGACUAAUAGUUGUCCUGUGGACAGAUUCUCCCACCUCAGCUGUGGAUCUCUGCAACUCCUCCAGAGUAACCAUGGGCCUCCUGGUUGCUUCUCUGAUUAAUUUUCUCCUUGUCCGACUCUUCAGUUUGGGUGGACGGCCUCCUCUUGGUAGGUUUGCGGUUGUGCCAUAUUCUUUCCAUUUUCUUAUGAUGGAUUUUAUGGUGCUCAGAGAGAUGUUCAAAGCUCUGGAUAUUUUUUUAUAACCUAACCCUGCUUCAUAUUUCUCCACAACUUUAUCCCUGACCUGUUUGGUGAGCUCCUUGGUCUUCAUGAUGCUGUUUGUUCAGUAAUGAUCUCCAACAAACUCUGAGUCCGUCACAGAACAGGUGUAUUUAUACUGAGAUUAAAUUGCAGACAGGUGGACCCCAAUUACUAAUUAUGUGACUUGCAAAUGUGACUUGUGAAUGCAAUUGGUCGCACCAGAUCUUUGUUAGGGGUUUCACAGUAAAGGGGGUGAAUACAUAUGCACUCAACACUUUUCAGAUUUUUAUUUGUAAAUAAUUGUGAAAUCCAUGUAAUAUUUCCCCCCACUUCCAAAUGAUGCACUAUUUUGUGUUGGUCCAUUACAUAAACUCACGAUGAAAUAAAUUUUAAUCUGUGGUUAUACCAUGACAAAAUGUAGAAAAGUCCAAAGGGGGUGAAUACUUAUGCAAGGCACUGUAUAUUUUAUUAGUUAUCACAAAUGUUUUUCAGAUCUCGCCAGACAAUACGUCACGUUUUUAUCGUUGCUCUGAUUGUUGCUAUGAGCGCUGCCAUGCUGAAAACCCCGUCGUAGCGUGCUGUUUGAAUCAUCGUCCGUGUGUUGUGUUGUUCAGUGAUCGUGAAUGUUAUUCACGUUAUUUAAAAUUAAUAUUUGAUGAUAGAUUACACCUCUAAUUCAAAGGAUCUAAGAUGUCCCCGCGACUCUGUUCAUACCGAGGCAGGCACGAUCGCGCAUGCGUGAGUGGAUCUGUCACCUUGGACAGCUUAGUAUGGUUGUGUGUGGCAAUGGUGUGGCUGGCUCCUGACUGCAGCGGACGAGGCACACCUGCUCCCAAUUCAUCUCAUCAUCCCCUACAUAAAAGCCUGGUCUGCUCAUCACUUCGACGCCAGAUUAUUCCGUCUUCUCCGAAUCUCCAUGUGCCUUACCGCUCAGCUUCUCAUCCUCGCCUCGUCCUGGAUCUCCCAGCCAGCUAGCACCCUGCCGCUCCAGCCUGCACCAUCUUCUCCUGCCAAUAAACUCUGUUCGUUUUCCUUCACCUUAAUUGUCUCAGGGGGAUGUUCCAUUUGCAGACAAUGAGAGGAGGGGGGGAUUUCUAAUACUUUCUUAUUUUUAUUUUUAGCCAACGAUUAGGCUAAAAAAAGUCCUAACAUCGUUGUGAGAUUAUUUUCAAUACUUACAAAAGGAGUAAUGUUUUAUGAACCUUUUCUUUUCAUCUGAAUAUGUAUAUUAGUAUUCUGGUCUGUGAACCCCCCUGUUGCACUUUGGUAUGUGCCACUCAGGAACCGGUCUCUCUGUCUACAUUUGGAGCUGAAGGAGACCGGUAUGUUUAUGGAGUGUUCUGCUUCUAAUUGUCAUUCCAACGUUUAAUGCAUUUUACUGUGACUACUUUCUGAAAGAGCAAUUACAGCUAUAAUGUGUAAGGCACAAGUCUGUAUUGUAAGGAGUAUUCAAGUUAUUUCAAAAGUAAGUGCUGCUGCUUGUUAAGGGUCGCAAGGAAUUAUCUGAGAUGUAGUUUUCUUAUGGGAUUUGAAUAGAACAAAUUUGUAUGAUUGUCAAAAGUUAAUCACUAUACGACCGUUUCAAUUGACGGGUUUUGUCUACAAUGUAUACAUGUUUUGUUAUACUCUAUCUGCAUUUGGAGCUGAAGGAGACGGUAGUCUGAGAAGAGGAUGUGAACUGAUGUGUCCCCUGUCACAUGUUGUAUCAUUGCAGAUUUAUUCCAUAAAUGAGAUCAAAAGAGA